UGCUAAUCUGCGAUAAGCGUCGGUAAGGUGAUAUGAACCGUUAUAACCGGCGAUUUCCGAAUGGGGAAACCCAGUGUGUUUCGACACACUAUCAUUAACUGAAUCCAUAGGUUAAUGAGGCGAACCGGGGGAACUGAAACAUCUAAGUACCCCGAGGAAAAGAAAUCAACCGAGAUUCCCCCAGUAGCGGCGAGCGAACGGGGAGCAGCCCAGAGCCUGAAUCAGUGUGUGUGUUAGUGGAAGCGUCUGGAAAGGCGCGCGAUACAGGGUGACAGCCCCGUACACAAAAAUGCACAUGCUGUGAGCUCGAUGAGUAGGGCGGGACACGUGGUAUCCUGUCUGAAUAUGGGGGGACCAUCCUCCAAGGCUAAAUACUCCUGACUGACCGAUAGUGAACCAGUACCGUGAGGGAAAGGCGAAAAGAACCCCGGCGAGGGGAGUGAAAAAGAACCUGAAACCGUGUACGUACAAGCAGUGGGAGCACGCUUAGGCGUGUGACUGCGUACCUUUUGUAUAAUGGGUCAGCGACUUAUAUUCUGUAGCAAGGUUAACCGAAUAGGGGAGCCGAAGGGAAACCGAGUCUUAACUGGGCGUUAAGUUGCAGGGUAUAGACCCGAAACCCGGUGAUCUAGCCAUGGGCAGGUUGAAGGUUGGGUAACACUAACUGGAGGACCGAACCGACUAAUGUUGAAAAAUUAGCGGAUGACUUGUGGCUGGGGGUGAAAGGCCAAUCAAACCGGGAGAUAGCUGGUUCUCCCCGAAAGCUAUUUAGGUAGCGCCUCGUGAAUUCAUCUCCGGGGGUAGAGCACUGUUUCGGCAAGGGGGUCAUCCCGACUUACCAACCCGAUGCAAACUGCGAAUACCGGAGAAUGUUAUCACGGGAGACACACGGCGGGUGCUAACGUCCGUCGUGAAGAGGGAAACAACCCAGACCGCCAGCUAAGGUCCCAAAGUCAUGGUUAAGUGGGAAACGAUGUGGGAAGGCCCAGACAGCCAGGAUGUUGGCUUAGAAGCAGCCAUCAUUUAAAGAAAGCGUAAUAGCUCACUGGUCGAGUCGGCCUGCGCGGAAGAUGUAACGGGGCUAAACCAUGCACCGAAGCUGCGGCAGCGACGCUGAUGCGUUGUUGGGUAGGGGAGCGUUCUGUAAGCCUGCGAAGGUGUGCUGUGAGGCAUGCUGGAGGUAUCAGAAGUGCGAAUGCUGACAUAAGUAACGAUAAAGCGGGUGAAAAGCCCGCUCGCCGGAAGACCAAGGGUUCCUGUCCAACGUUAAUCGGGGCAGGGUGAGUCGACCCCUAAGGCGAGGCCGAAAGGCGUAGUCGAUGGGAAACAGGUUAAUAUUCCUGUACUUGGUGUUACUGCGAAGGGGGGACGGAGAAGGCUAUGUUGGCCGGGCGACGGUUGUCCCGGUUUAAGCGUGUAGGCUGGUUUUCCAGGCAAAUCCGGAAAAUCAAGGCUGAGGCGUGAUGACGAGGCACUACGGUGCUGAAGCAACAAAUGCCCUGCUUCCAGGAAAAGCCUCUAAGCAUCAGGUAACAUCAAAUCGUACCCCAAACCGACACAGGUGGUCAGGUAGAGAAUACCAAGGCGCUUGAGAGAACUCGGGUGAAGGAACUAGGCAAAAUGGUGCCGUAACUUCGGGAGAAGGCACGC
rnacentral:rRNA from 1 species